UACGUAGGGGGCAAGCGUUGUCCGGAUUUAUUGGGCGUAAAGAGCGUGUAGGCGGUCAUGUAGGUCCGUUGUGAAAACUCGAGGCUCAACCUCGAGACGCCGAUGGAAACCAUAUGACUAGAGGUAGGUAGGGGAGAAUGGAAUUCCCGGUGUAGCGGUGAAAUGCGCAGAUAUCGGGAGGAACACCGGUGGCGAAGGCGGUUCUCUGGGCCUUACCUGACGCUGAGGAGCGAAAGCGUGGGGAGCGAACGGG
rnacentral:rRNA from 1 species